CUCUCCUUCGCUCUGCCUUCAGCCACACAACCUCAUCCCUGCCAACAUUUCUUUCUCGUCUUCUAGUUAUUUUUCUUCAGUAACGCCAACCGGCAGCAAACGUACACACCAUCGCCCUCAGCAGCAGCAGCAGCAGCCUCUCUCAGUCCUUCGCCGCUCUGCCCCGCCCCGCCACCUCCUCUGACGCUCUUGUUCUUGUUUUUCCAAGCAAGCACCUCAACGCCAUGUCCGAGCUACAGAGCCUCACCCCGGAGACGGCCUUCACCGUCGCCUCCACGUUCCUCGCGUACUACUACAGCGAGUUUGUGAAGCUGAACGAGCUGGCGCGCAUGUCAGACCUGUAUGACGAGCGGUCCUACAUGACGCUUGUGGACUUCCGCGACGAGGUACCGGUGGUGGCGCACGGCCGCAACGCAGUGGCGAAUCUGCUGGCGAAGCUUGACAGCACGCUCGGUCAGCGCAAAGUCGAGAUCAUUACUGUGGACACCGUGGCCCUGCCGCACAACUGCGUUCAGGUCAUAUGUCAAGGUGUGAUGUACCUGCGUGAGUACCGCCGUGUGUUCCUACACGUCUUCAUGCUGGAGCCAACGGCGUACCGCACCAAGACGUAUCACAUCGCCUCCGACUACCUGCGCUUCGUGGAUUCGGAGAAGGAGGUCAUCCCGGAGGGUGCCGUGGUUAUUGCGGCCGACCAAGUCGCCGCCUACCUCGAGGAGAGCCGCCGCCGUGUGGAGGAGGAGCAACGCCGCCAGCUCCUGGAGUUCCAGCAGCGCAUCCGUCUGCAGCAGCAACAGCUGCAGAUGCAGCAGCAGCAGCAGAAGGCUGCCGCUAUGAACAUGCCUGCCCCCGCUUCCCGCCAGUCUCGCCCGGCUGCCUCGGCCUCGCGCGAGCCAUCCGAUCCCCAAGAGCAGCACCAGCAGCAGCGCCCCGCCCGCCCACCGCGCGAUGGCGGCCGCCCCGCUCGUGGUGAGCGCAAGCCUCGUGAGCCACGCGAGAACCGCGGCGAGCGCAAGCCUCGUGAGCCUCGUGGUGAGCAUAAGCCGCGCGAGGGGCAAGAGAAGGUCGCUGCUGCGUCACCUUCUCGCCCGGCUGGUGAAGGGAAGAAGGGUGGCGAGCGCGGUAACCGGAAGCCCGCCGCUGCUGCGAACGCCGCGAAAGGUGCAGCAGAUACUGCUGCUGCUACCCCGGCUCCCGUCGCGGAGCGCAAGCCGCGCCGCGAGUCGGGCCCGACCGCUGCUAUCAUCAUGUUUCGUGUGCCGAAGAAGAUCAAGCUGUCGGACAUCAAGGCAGAGCUGGUCAGCCAAGGUUUCUCCGAGCUGAAGGACCUCUUCUGGUGCGGCCGCGACAGCGCCCACGCAGUGGCGAAGUUCUCGGCAGUGGAGAAAGCGACAGAGGUCUUUGAGAAGAAGCCCUUCAAGAUUCAAGGCGAGAGCCUGAACUUGGACUACUACCACGAAUAGGCGAUGCCGCUGCAGGCAACCCUGCGGCUGCGGUGAGGAGGUGGAGGGCGAUGCAUCUACGACGGCACCGACGGCGUCACCCUUGCCCACCCACAUUUUCCCUCCUCCCCCCUCCCCGGCCCCUCAAGAAUCAACGCCAUCGUUCGUGCAGGACACGCCGCAUCUCGCCCUUCGUGCCCGCGUGUGUGAUCCCGUCUUUAGCCCCUAUUUGUUUGUUUCGGCCUAAUUUAUGUGCUUCUCCUUCCCAGGAGGGGAGAUGGGGAGGUGCGUGCAUCCGCCCUCGCUGCCACCCGACGGGCUGGCUCACACAGACACGCACGCGUGCACAGAAUUUCAAGGGGCACGUGCGUGUGUGUCUCUAUCUCCCUGUGUGCCUGCGUGCGCACUCGCUGGCGCGUUCCUCGCUGUAUGGCAUCUCUAAUCU
rnacentral:misc_RNA from 1 species